ensembl:lncRNA
UGUAGUAAAAGUUAAUGAUGCACAGAACUGGGUGCGUGCCAAAGCCAGUUCCUCAUUAGGAGAUUUCUUCAAGGAAAUAAUCACUUAACCCUGUGAGGCUUAGUGGACCGUGUCUCUCCAGGAGUGAUGAAGCCCGGACACGAAACUAAGCUCCACGCAAAGGACUACAGACGCAAACAGCAAAGUCAAACAUAUACCCUCAAAACAAGAAAUCCCCCCCAGCGAACUGUUUAGUGGCCGAGAGCCUCUGAGCUUUUAACGCUAGCAUCCUAAAAUUGUGAGUGGUGGUAGCCUACAAAAACCUAAAAAUGGAUUGGAUGUAAAUGACUCUACCACCGAACCGAUUCUCUGAUCAGCUGCGAUUCUUGGAAUCCUCGGGGACGCUGCCAGAAAAGUUGGGGAAAGCAAAGACUAUGGAUUUUCAUGAGGGUUUAAACUUUCUUUUUUCUUGGCGUGGAGGCGGAGAGAUCUUCUUUUCAAAGUCUUUUGAAAUAUGAAACGAGCCGGCACACUUCACUUCUUUUCUCGGGGAUUCCUUGCAUCUCUGUGGUUUCUCUGCGCCAGCCCUGCCUCCCUUUGCAUACUGGGCCUGCAGGUUUCUCUGUAUGUGUAGUAUGUGUCAGAAGACGUGUCAGGGGCAGGCUCUGUUUUACGUGUGUGUGCGUGUGAGAGCAUGUGUGAGCGUGUGUGUGUGAGUUCCAGGCUUAUGAUUACUGCUUUGUGCUCCAACAGUGACAGAGUGGUAGCAGAACUUCCCGGGUGUUUGAGUGUGGAGAUAAGAUAAGACAAUAAAUGAGGAGCAGUCGCCCUUAAAGUUCAGACAGCAAUUACCACACAAGGCUUCAGAUCUCCCCUGGAGUGAACUGUGCUCCUCCUGCUGAUUCUGAAAGGUAUUAUACACAGGAACAGGAGAUCGGUUGACGUUGUUUUGGUAAUGGGUUGGAGGCAACAGCGCCAGGAACACUGUGUUUUGACCACACACGUAGCGAUGGACGAUAAGCACAGCCUGGACGGCCAGAUGAAGGGACGGUGGGUGGUUUAGCGGCUGGAAUCCCCUGGAACGUUUUCCGUCCGAAAGGUAAUCAGUGUACACAACCGUCAGCGCAGCAUGGUGUCACACGAGAUGGAGCGAUUGUGUGUUGUUGUGUUCCCAAAUAAGGGUCCGUGUCGGCAUGCUACGCCCGUCGGACCGUCC